UUGGGGAAUAUUGGACAAUGGGCGAAAGCCUGAUCCAGCAAUGCCGCGUGAGUGAUGAAGGCCUUAGGGUUGUAAAGCUCUUUUACCAGGGAUGAUAAUGACAGUACCUGGAGAAUAAGCUCCGGCUAACUCCGUGCCAGCAGCCGCGGUAAUACGGAGGGAGCUAGCGUUGUUCGGAAUUACUGGGCGUAAAGCGCACGUAGGCGGUUACUCAAGUCAGAGGUGAAAGCCCGGGGCUCAACCCCGGAACUGCCUUUGAAACUAGGUAACUGGAAUCUUGGAGAGGUCAGUGGAAUUCCGAGUGUAGAGGUGAAAUUCGUAGAUAUUCGGAAGAACACCAGUGGCGAAGGCGACUGACUGGACAAGUAUUGACGCUGAGGUGCGAAAGCGUGGGGAGCAAACAGGAUUAGAAACCCGAGUAGUCC
rnacentral:rRNA from 1 species